UACGUAGGGGGCAAGCGUUGUCCGGAUUUAUUGGGCGUAAAGAGCGUGUAGGCGGCCAGGUAGGUCCGUUGUGAAAACUCGAGGCUCAACCUCGAGACGUCGGCGGAAACCCUCUGGCUAGAGUCCGGAAGAGGAGAGUGGAAUUCCUGGUGUAGCGGUGAAAUGCGCAGAUAUCAGGAAGAACACCCGUGGCGAAGGCGGCUCUCUAGUACGGUACUGACGCUGAGACGCGAAAGCGUGGGGAGCGAACAGG
rnacentral:rRNA from 1 species